rnacentral:rRNA from 1 species
AGAUUGAACGCUGGCGGCAGGCCUAACACAUGCAAGUCGAGCGGUAGAGAGGUGCUUGCACCUCUUGAGAGCGGCGGACGGGUGAGUAAUGCCUAGGAAUCUGCCUAGUGGUGGGGGAUAACGUUCGGAAACGGACGCUAAUACCGCAUACGUCCUACGGGAGAAAGCGGGGGACCUUCGGGCCUCGCGCCAUUAGAUGAGCCUAGGUCGGAUUAGCUAGUUGGUGAGGUAAUGGCUCACCAAGGCGACGAUCCGUAACUGGUCUGAGAGGAUGAUCAGUCACACUGGAACUGAGACACGGUCCAGACUCCUACGGGAGCAGCAGUGGGGAAUAUUGGACAAUGGGCGAAAGCCUGAUCCAGCCAUGCCGCGUGUGUGAAGAAGGUCUUCGGAUUGUAAAGCACUUUAAGUGGAGAAGGUUGAACUUAAUACGUUGCAACUUUGACGUUACCGACAGAAUAAGCAACGGCUAACUUCGUGCCAGCAGCCGCGUUAA